UAGGGAAUCUUCGGCAAUGGGGGGAACCCUGACCGAGCAACGCCGCGUGAGUGAAGAAGGUUUUCGGAUCGUAAAGCUCUGUUGUUAAGGAAGAACGAGUGUGAGAAUGGAAAGUUCAUGCUGUGACGGUACUUAACCAGAAAGGGACGGCUAACUACGUGCCAGCAGCCGCGGUAAUACGUAGGUCCCGAGCGUUGUCCGGCUUUAUUGGGCGUAAAGCGAGCGCAGGCGGUUAGAAAAGUCUGAAGUGAAAGGCAGUGGCUCAACCAUUGUAGGCUUUGGAAACUGUUUAACUUGAGUGCAGAAGGGGAGAGUGGAAUUCCAUGUGUGGCGGUGAAAUGCGUAGAUAUAUGGAGGAACACCGGUGGCGAAAGCGGCUCUCUGGUCUGUAACUGACGCUGAGGCUCGAAAGCGUGGGGAGCGAACAGG
rnacentral:rRNA from 1 species